rnacentral:rRNA from 1 species
GUGAGGAAUAUUGCGCAAUGGAGGCAACUCUGACGCAGCCAUGCCGCGUGCAGGAAGAAGGCGCUACGCGUUGUAAACUGCUUUUAACCGGGAAGAAACCCCAGGACGUGUCCUGUGUUGACGGUACCGGAGGAAUAAGCACCGGCUAACUUCGUGCCAGCAGCCGCGGUAAUACGAAGGGUGCAAGCGUUAUCCGGAUUCAUUGGGUUUAAAGGGUGCGUAGGCGGAGCGUUAAGUCAGUGGUGAAAUCCUGCAGCUUAACUGUAGACUUGCCAUUGAUACUGGCGCUCUUGAGUGCGCUUGAAGUGGGCGGAAUGUGCCGUGUAGCGGUGAAAUGCUUAGAUAUGGCACAGAACACCAAUUGCGAAGGCAGCUCACUAAGGCGAUACUGACGCUGAGGCACGAAAGCGUGGGGAUCGAACAGGAUUAGAUACCCCGGUAGUCC